CAACGAAACACACAACUUUCUAGUUGGUAUCGCCUUAUCGAGUUGACACUCAUUCUUCCUGUGGCCACUUCAUUGGUUGAGUGAAUAUUUUCAGCAAUGAAGAUCAUCAAGACAGAUUUGCGCAACAAGCUAUCAGAUGAUUGGCUAAAUGAUUUAAUGGUGUGCUACUGCGAGAAAGAGAUAUUCAGAAGCAUCCAUGAUGACCAAAUCAUGAUACAAUUCCAGAAAAUGAGGGAUUGGAAAGGACAUUCGCCUCAUGAGUUUAAUGUGAUUUGUUAG
rnacentral:rRNA from 1 species